GGAAUAUUGCGCAAUGGGCGAAAGCCUGACGCAGCCAUACCGCGUGUGUGAAGAAGGCCUUCGGGUUGUAAAGCACUUUCAGUGGGGAGGAAAAGCUGGUGGCUAAUAUCCAUCGGCCGUGACGCUACCCACAGAAGAAGCACCGGCUAAUUCCGUGCCAGCAGCCGCGGUAAUACGGAAGGUGCGAGCGUUAAUCGGAAUUACUGGGCGUAAAGCGCACGUAGGUGGCUUGGUAAGUCGGAUGUGAAAGCCCCGGGCUCAACCUGGGAACUGCAUUCGAUACUGCUGAGCUAGAGUACGAAAGAGGGGGGUGGAAUUCCAGGUGUAGCGGUGAAAUGCGUAGAGAUCUGGAGGAACACCAGUGGCGAAGGCGGCCCCCUGGUUCGAUACUGACGCUGAGGUGCGAAAGCGUGGGGAGCAAA
rnacentral:rRNA from 1 species